GCCUCGGUAGCGUAGUGGUCAAGAUGCUCGCCUGGUAAACAGGAGGGCGUGGGUUCGAUCCCAGCCGAGGCA
rnacentral:tRNA from 1 species